GACGAACGCUGGCGGCGUGCUUAACACAUGCAAGUCGAACGGAAAGGCCCUGCUUUUGUGGGGUGCUCGCGUGGCGAACGGGUGAGUAACCCGUGAGUAACCUGCCCUUGACUUUGGGAUAACUUCAGGCAACUGGGGCUAAUACCGGAUAGGAGCUCCUGCUGCAUGGUGGGGUUUGGAAAGUUUCGGCGGUUGGGGAUGGAUUCGCGGCUUAUCAGCUUGUUGGUGGGGUAGUGGCUUACCAAGGCUUUGGCGGGUAGCCGGCCUGAGAGGGUGGACGGCCACAUUGGGACUGAGGUACGGCCCAGACUCCUACGGGAGGCAGCAGGGGGGAAUAUUGCACAAUGGGCGGAAGCCUGAUGAAGCAACGCCGCGUGCGGGAUGACGGCCUUCGGGUUGUAAACCGCUUUCGCCUGUGACGAAGCGUGAGUGACGGUAAUGGGUAAAGAAGCACCGGCUAACUACGUG
rnacentral:rRNA from 1 species